AGACACACACACACGGUAAGACACACACACACGGUAAGACACACACACACAGUAAGACACACACACACACACAGGAAGACACACACGGGAAGACACACACGGGAAGACACACACGGGAAGACACACACACACACACGAGAAGACACACAGGAAGACACACACACACAGUAAGACACACACGGGAAGACACACACGGGAAGACACACACACACGGGAAGACACACACACACGGGAAGACACACAC